CGGCUGCGGCAGCUUCGGGAGCUGGAGGGACGGGGCCGGGCGGCCGGCGGCCGCCACGCUCGCCUGACCUGCGUGCCCCGCUGGCCGCGCCGGGCUGCCCCGAAGGAUGUCCGCCCAGUCCAAGGGGACCGCAUCCUCCUCCUCCUCGCCGUCCGAGGGGCCGCCGGCAGCCUCCAAAGCCAAGGUGAAGGAGCAGAUCAAGAUCAUAGUGGAGGAUUUGGAAUUAGUCCUGGGGGACCUGAAAGAUGUCGCCAAGGAACUUAAGGAGGUGGUUGACCAGAUUGACACACUGACAUGUGAUCUGCAGCUGGAGGAUGAGAUGACAGACAGUUCCAAAACAGACACGCUGAACAGCAGCUCCAGCAGCACAACAGCCUCCAGCCUGGAGAAGGUCAAGGUGCGGGGCAGCGCGCCCCUCAUCAAGCCGCCCGCGCACCCCUCUGCCAUCCUGACCGUGCUGCGGAAGCCCAACCCGCCGCCUCCUCCCCCUCGGCUGACGCCCGUCAGGUGUGAUGAGCCUCCCCGGCUGCCUCCUUUGGCCAACCCAGUCAAGACCAACGGCACCCUGCUGCGGAACGGGGGCCUGCCCGCGGGGCCCGGCCGCAUCCCGAAUGGAGAUGUGUGCUGCGUGCCCAGCAGCCCCCUGGAGAAGGCGGUGAUGCCGCCGCUGGCGCACAGAGCCGAGAAGGAGCGCUGUGCCCAGGCGGGAGCGAGGGAGCGCGUCCGGUUCAGCGAGAAGGUGCAGUACCACGGCUACUGCCCCGACUGUGACGUUCGCUACAACAUCAAAAACAGGGAGGUGCACUUGCACAGCGAGCCGGCCCGGGCUGCGGGAAAGCUGCCACACCAGUGCCCUCCUCUGCCACCUCCUCCACCUCCACUGCCUCCAUUUCUUCUGGAAAAUGGAGGGUUGGGGAUAAGUCCCAGUAAUAGCUUUCCUCCUCCAAGACCUGCAACUGUGCCUCCACAAACUGCGCCAAAACCCCAGAAGACCAUCUUGAGGAAAUCAACCACUACAACAGUGUGAAGUAUGCCCCUUGUAAUAACUCUUUGUUUUUUCCUAUAUAUAAACAUAAAUAGGUAAUGAGCACUUUCUACUUGAGCAAUAAAAAGACCCAAUGUAUUACACCCUGUGUCCAGUGAAGUGGCAUAAAAAUCACAUGGUCCUACACCAGAAGCUGACUUCUCACAAGCUACAGAGGAGGUGAAGUGUUCUGACUCUUUAACUUCUCUUCCCCCAGUCCUUUGAGUAAAGCCAUAUUCUCUUCUGGAUGAGUGGAGUUACCUGACACUCAUUGCAGCAACAAAGGCAGAUGAGCCAACCAUUCUAUCCUGGACACCUUCAGGCUUGAAGGAGUGUCUAUAUUUGGAGGCACGUCAAUUAAGUUGCGUAUCAGAUUCAUCAUUGUGACUUCUUGCAGGCCAGAUCUGAGAAGUAACCAGGAAACCUGACCCUUAGUGGAGAAUGGAAGAACCCUUGGAGUCAGAGCACAACUGAGCACUAGUGUAAUCUGCAUUGAAUCAUCUUUCUCAGAUCUGACAGCUACAAGCUGAGUCCUGGCAAAAGCCACAGCCUUAAAUUCCAUUCAGUGCGAAAGCAAGAUAAGAGAACUCAAUGUUUUGCCCCGUUGCAGAAACUGCUGUCUCCAAGCCUGACACCUGAGUUCCAUGCUGAGCAACCAGAGUACCAAACAAGGAGUUUUUAAUGGGUACCGCCAGCAUCAACAAAUAUUUCAAUAUGUAGCCAAAAGGAAAAAGGAAGCACUAAGUAAUUUCAGAAAAUGGAUACAUUUAUUAUAACAGAGGAAUGUUACUUUCUGUGGGGAAGAAGACCUCUGUCGUCCCUUGUAUAUAUUCAAAGCCAUACAGGAACAGGGCAUAAGUGAAGUUAAGUCACUUAAAAGAAUGCUGUCUCCUGUCCUCCACCCAACUUUGAGGAAGUUCUGCUCUUAGAGAUUGCAUCUUGAUGCACUUCUAUUAUUUGCACUGUCACUUCCAUUCAGGGUAAUGAUGUGUGCCACCAUUUGCACAGAUGGCCCCAGGAGAUUUUUGACCACAACAAGCUAUACUUUGCCAGGGCUCCAAAUGGAAUUAAAAAGUUAGAACUGAAGAAAGACAUUUAUGCUCUCUUUCACUAUGGGGAUCUCUUCACAGAAAGGAUUACAGUCCUUUCUUAGGAUGAAAUAAAUACAUGCAUAUACAUACAUAUAUACAUAUGUAUAUAUAUGAAAAAGAAGCAACAUGAUAAGGUGUAUUUAAAAAGGGGAUAUAAUCUUUUUUAAUAGCAUCCAUUUUUUUUUAUCAUAUUAGCAGCCGAGAAAUUUAAUCUAUUGAAUUAUACAUCAAAAAAUGUUCCUGUUGAACAUUGACAUUUAGUCCCAGUUACUGCUAAAGAAAUCAUUUGUAAUAUGUACUUGACAUAAAAUUUUUCUAGCCAUUUGUCUAUACUUCAUGGAGAAAUCUAACAGACAAGCAACAUUUUCAGUUUAUUUUUCUAAAUAAAUGUGUUGUUUGUAUUAUUUGCAGUCACUCAUUUUGGCUGGUUUUCAUUAUCUCCAAAAGUGAUUUAAAGACAGAACCAAAACACAGGGAUUGUUUGUUCUUGUUAAGCUGUAAUGAUUUGCUGAAUGAAAGCUUUAAUAUAAAUACUGUAAUUUGUAAAAUGAUGAAGUAUAUUUAUAUAGGCAAAUAUGUAUGGAAAACAAAAGGAGGUAUUUUAACUCUUAAUUUCAGAACAUAGUUUAUUUUAAUAUCCACAGGAAGAAAUUAAAUAUAUAAUGGGAUAGGGUUUUUAUUAUCAAUGAGUUUUAGUAAGUGAAAAUUUGGAUGUUUAAGAAUGAAACGAAUGUAGUCAAAUAAUGGUGGUUUCCCAAAUAGAGACCUUUUGCCAGCUGUCUCAUUUUACUCAAAAACUGGUUUAGUCAUUUGGGGGGUUGGGUUUUUCUGGGAUGUGUGUGCUAAAGUCUUUGUUUGGUGUUUUGUUUGUUUUGGCAUACCGACAAGACCAUGAAUUUGAUACUAUUUGCUCAUCAUUUGAAAAGCUACAGAAUAAAAGGUUGUUUCUUAGAACAAUCUACAGUUUGCAGUUAAGAACAGUCAUUUUUCUCCAACUAAUGCAGUGUUUUGUUGUGGAGUUAUUGAACAUUUCAAUGCUAGAGCUGUUUUGAAUAAAUUUUUUUUUCCUUUUUUUUCUUAGUCCAUUAGCCUAUGUGUAAUUCAAAGAGAAAAGUAAUGCAUUUGGUUCCCAGUCCACUUAAAUAAUUCGUCUUAAGUCCAGUUAUAUGUAUCUGAUUUUUAAAGCUGAAUAGCUUUUCUUUCAGUUCAUUGCUUUAUGGAAGCAUUUAAGUGCUCACUAACAGAAAAAAUACCUUUCAACAACAAAAAUUAAGUUAAAAUAAUCUGUGGGUUAACUUUGUGAAGGGCAGAUAUCUUAAAAACGUGUUGCUCUGCUCCAACGUGCUAACAAGUGUUAUGCGUGUAUGUUCGUGUGUGUGUGCACGCAUGGCACCCUUACCUGCUCAUGAAUGAAAUGCCAGCUCUGCUGAAGUAAGUGCCACAAGUCCUGUUACUGCAAAAGAUGCUCAUGUUGCUGUAUUUUUUGGUGAAAGACCUGAUCUCUGUCUUUGCUUGUGACUCUGAAGCCAUAAACAGCUUUUGAAGUUUGUCAGGAAAUUGUAAAAUUAAGUAAGUUUAUGAUAGGCUCUCCCUCAUUUGGCAAAAAUUGGGAUGAUCUUAUGAUUUGACUCUUUUUAUGAAAGUUAGUGGUCAAUUUCCUUUGGUGCAAUGGAUAAAUGAAACCUUUGUAUUUGUUAAAGAAUGAUGGCUGUGUUUUGUUCACACACAAUUCAGCUUUUGGCUUAUAGUGUUCUUACCUUGAUGUCAUUUCUGUGUCAUUAGAGUACGUUAUUUGGACACAUAACUGGCAUGGGCUUGGUUUUCCUCCCUUUUCAGAUAAUAUUUUAAAAUUGGAGAUCUUCUUCUUUGAGAUGAGUAUUCAGUUGUUUAAGAAGAGGACAACAUUAUUGAAACAAUAGUAAAAUUUCAGAAUGAUAAUUUGAACACUUCCAUCAUUGCCUAAUAAUUUCACUUGAAAAAGCUCUUAUUUUUGUGAACAAAAUGCAUUCAUCUGUAUUUGAAAAUAGCCCAAUAAAAAUCCAGUGGAAUAAUUUGUUACUACUUGCAAAUACUUUUCUGCUAUGCUGAGUUCUAGAUCAGCUUGUGUGUAAAAUUUUUAUUGCACAAAACCCACCUAAAACAAUGAACAGUUUUCUUCAGAAAAAUACAUGAGAUAUGAAAAAUAA